rnacentral:rRNA from 1 species
UACGUAGGGUGCGAGCGUUGUCCGGAAUUAUUGGGCGUAAAGGGCUCGUAGGCGGUUUGUCGCGUCGGGAGUGAAAACGCCGUGCUUAACACGGCGCUUGCUUUCGAUACGGGCAGACUAGAGGUAUGCAGGGGAGAACGGAAUUCCUGGUGUAGCGGUGAAAUGCGUAGAUAUCAAGAGGAACACCUGAGGUGAAGGCGGCUCUCUGGGACGGUACUGACGCUGAGACGCGAAAGCGUGGGGAGCGAACAGG